UACGAAGGGGGCUAGCGUUGCUCGGAAUUACUGGGCGUAAAGGGCGCGUAGGCGGCUUUGUUAGUCAGGCGUGAAAUUCCUGGGCUCAACCUGGGGACUGCGCUUGAUACGGCAAGGCUAGAGUGUGGAAGAGGGUCGUGGAAUUCCCAGUGUAGAGGUGAAAUUCGUAGAUAUUGGGAAGAACACCGGUGGCGAAGGCGGCGACCUGGUCCAUUACUGACGCUGAGGCGCGACAGCGUGGGGAGCAAACAGGAUUAGAUACCCUGGUAGUCCACGCCGUAAACGAUGUGCGCUGGAUGUUGGAGUUCCUAGAACUUCAGUGUCGUAGCUAACGCGGUAAGCGCACCGCCUGGGGAGUACGGCCGCAAGGUUGAA
rnacentral:rRNA from 1 species